AGUGUAGCCGGAAGCCAGAGUUUCAAGAUGGCCGACUUACGGCGAGGUUUGAGUGAAGUCUUUGUUUUGCAAGCUACACCUCGCCGUGCUGUAGCCAAGCCGUCGCAAAUAAAUAUCGAGCUUGCGGCCCACCUGUCCACUGAAAGUAAAUCAGGACAAUAAUGAAAAUUUCAAUGCCCACAUGAUUGGUUUCGUCGAAGUCAUCGUUCCAGGAUACUUGACAUACCAGUUCAAAUCUCACUUCGAAUGUUGCCGGACGCCUUUGAUGCUCUCCAGGCUUGGAUUGAGCCUCAUCUGCCACAGCAACGUGGUUCAACAAUAGAACAAAGCUGCUUGCCACCUUGUGGUUACUGGCACCAAAACACCCUCCAGAAUAUAUUCACCUAUAUUUGCCAUACCACGUCUAUAGCAAAGCAUCCAUCAUCAGUGUCUGCUUUUCUCUUCCACCAACAUUUAUUAUUUCAUUAUAUAAUUUGAAUAUUUUGCAUAAAUAUCUCUUGCAUUUGUAUCAACACCCAUAAUUUCUUUCCCCCAUGCAAAUUGAGGUCUACAUGUCUUUUGUGUCACCAUCAUUAAUAAGUUGUCCACCAUGUGCAUAUAUUAUCUAUGUGCAUUUAUAUUUAUGAUUGUGUGAUUUUUGCAGUUGUGCUUAUAUGUUGUCUACAUACUGAAGUUGACACAGCAGCAGCAAAGUAUUGUCAUAUACACCAUAUGGCUGUGUAUUUUUUCAUCACUGUGUACAGUUCUCUCCCAGCAACCUUUAUUAUUUCCAUUGCAUAAUUUGAAUUUUUUAUACAUAUCUCUUGCAUUUGCAUCACCACUAUGAUUUGUUUUUAUUCGUGUAAAUUGAGGAGUGUGCGCGUGUUUAAUUCCUGUCACCAUCCUUAAUAAUUUGCUUUGUCACCAGAUGCAUGUCAUGUUCUGUGCUUUUCAAAUGAGUGUCACUUUUCGUGUUUAGCUUUGAUGCAACACUUUUCCAGUUAUAAUUUCUCAUUUGAUUAUCAUGUAAUGUGUUUAUCAUAUAAUAAAUUUUCAUUUGAUUUUACUAAU